CAGCAGCACAGAGGGAGCUGCACAGUUGCUAUAAAGCAGGAAGGAAAAGUGCAUCUCUCAUCAGUAAAGCUGUUGGCUGUGCUUUGCUUUGCACUGCAUUUGUAUCCCUGCAUUUGUCAGCUUUUCUUGCCUUUUGUUUUGCCAGGCUGUUACUGCGGCAGAGAAGUCAAUAAACACAAGUUUCAAUGAGCCACUAAAAAGAGCAAGGACCAAGAAGCCCAGUUCCCAGAGGUGGUGAUGGUACCUGAAGGGAAUGGACAGCAGGUGGAAGAUGGUUAAAUCCUUGAGACAGCCCUGAUGUCAUUUUGUCCUCAUUCUUUGUCCAAAAGAUGAUGGCCACAUGUGUCUGGCCUGGCAGGAGCUUUCUUGUGAAUUAAUGAAACAUCAAGGCUGCACUGCCAGCCAGAUUGCAGUGGUGUGUUUCCAGGAGAGAGCCUGAGCUGGCAGACCCUCAGCUGCUACAAAUCAAUUAAGUCCCUCUGAUUCCAGCAGAGAGGGCCACUGAGUACAGCUGCAGGAUCUGGCCCAUUCCACACUGGAACAGAAAGACUGCAUUCAUUUUGCCGAGAGCUGGACUAGUUAAAAUUUAAAUGCUGUUAAAUUUUAAAAUCCCAAUUUAAUUUAAAAUUCCCUUUGCAGUUUCUUUUAGUGACAGCAUUGCUCAUUUCUGCUGAGAAGCUGAGACCUAACCUUUGGCUGAGACUGCCACAUGAGGGUUUCACUGUCCUGUGGCCAGCAGGUGUGAUGUGUCUUGCCCUCAAAUUUUUUUAUGAGCCCGGUUUCUUGCUUCUCUUGGUCAAAUAACUGUAAUAAGAAUAAUCAUGGAAUCACAGAAUCAUGGAAUCAAAAAUGGGUUGGGUUGGAGGCACCUUAAAGAUUCUCCAGUUCCAACCCCGUGCUACAGGCAGGGACAGCUUCCCCUGGACCAGGCUGCUCACAGCUCCAUCCAGCCUGGCCUAAAUAGCAUCAAAGGUCAGCCAGAACUCCCCAAAUUGCCUGAAUCCCUGGAAAGCAGCAGCAUGCCUUGGUUCUGGCAGGAGAGGAAGCGCAACAGAGAAGGAGUCCCUUGUCUAUGGCACAGCCCUAGUGCCCAGGCAGGCUGCAAAGACUUAAAGUGCUUCUAACAUUCAUGGCCCAGCCCUACAUACACUAUGCGUGCACUGAAGGCUUCAGUUUUGGGAAGAGAGGAUUCUGCUAGCUCCCUGGACAGACUUUUGGACACGUUGCAGGGCUGUUGCAAUGCUUGCAUUUGUGGGGAGUGAGUUUGACUGCAGUGUGAAGAGAAGCCCAAUGUCUGAGUGUGCAGACCUGGCUGUGUUUCCCUAUGUCCCACAUUGACAUGUGAGUGUUCUGCCUUAUUAAAAGUUAUUUCAUGGCAUCUGCUCCCCAGUUAGCUGGGCAUCAGUGAAGAAGAAAAUCCUCCUCUCCCUCAGCUCAUGGCUGUGAGGGAAGGGGUUGUCCUGGACAGAGAGCUGCAGAAAAAAGAAAUGGAGAAGAGUUGGGAGUGGGGAAGGAGGCCAGGGGUUAAAGCAAGAGGAACAAGGGUUAAAGGGAGCUUGGAGGGGCUGAGGAGGUAUUGUUAGACCUGGGAGAGCUUUGCUUGUGCCCACAGGCAGAGCUGCACCCUAGAGGGCAGCACCACAUCCCAGGCAGGUCUCUUCAGUUCACCCCUUGCUUUCUGGUAAGACGUGAGAUUUUGAGCUUCCAACCAGCAACUGGGUUUGUAAUUUGGCAAAGAAACUUGAUAAAAAACAGGCCAACAACCCAAAGCAUGUCAUCACAAAGUGUUACAGCCCAUGCAUUUAGCACCUCGCUGCAAAGGCCAGCUGAGAGCCAACUUUCCAGUGUAAUUUUCCUGCACAUCUGCCAAGCAGCAUGUGGAAAGAGCCAUCUGUGUGUCCUACCAGGGCAUUUCCCAGUCACAGCUUCUAAAGGGUAACUAAAAAACUGCCUGCUGUACAUGCCAUUGCUCAGAAGGUCUAGAGUUUUCACAAAAAUAUGAGUUAAAGAUGAGAGAACAACUGAUGACUCCUGCUGUUCAGUCUGCUCUGUCUGGAUGUGGAGCUAAUCAGACCACUCAGCAAAAUUAACAUCUCCUAAGUACUUCAUAAUCCAAUUUAUGUUUUAAAAAUUUUGCUUUAAAGAAAUAAUAGGAGAAAGAAAGACAGGAAGA